AAUUGCAGCUAGCUCUCUGCAGCUCUCCCAUAGUCGCUCACUGAAGCUAAGCAGGGCUGCGCCCGUUCUGUACCUGUAUGGGAGACCACAUGGGAAAGCUAGGUUGCUGCUGAAA
rnacentral:rRNA from 1 species